UACGAAGGGUGCAAGCGUUAAUCGGAAUUACUGGGCGUAAAGCGUGCGCAGGCGGUUCGUUGUGUCCGUCGUGAAAGCCCCGGGCUUAACCUGGGAACUGCGAUGGAAACUAGCGAGCUGGAGUGUGGCAGAGGGGGGUGGAAUUCCGCGUGUAGCAGUGAAAUGCGUAGAGAUGCGGAGGAACACCGAUGGCGAAGGCAGCCCCCUGGGCUAACACUGACGCUCAGGCACGAAAGCGUGGGGAGCAAACAGG
rnacentral:rRNA from 1 species